CUUGUGCUGAGGACCUAGCCUCCAGGCUGGGAGAGCCAGUACCCUCUCACUCUGACCUGGGCUGUGUCAGUGACUACAUGGUGGAGAGGCACAGUUUCAACCCUUCCUGUAGAGUCAUAGCAUUCACUGGUGACAACCCCUCAUCAUUAGCAGGCAUGACUCUGAGACCAGGAGAUGUCGCUGUCAGUUUGGGUACUUCGGAUACUCUUUUUCUACCUCUUACACAACCACCCACCCCUGCCUGAAGGACAUGUUCUCAUUAACCCUGUUGAUAGUGAUGCAUAUAUGGCUUUGCUGUGUUUCAAGAACGGCUCACUCACAAGAGAAAGGAUCAGAAAUUUAGUUGCUGAAAAGUCAUGGGAAAGAUUUAGCAGUCUUCUGAACAGCACACCUAGGGGCAAUUUUGG